UACGUAGGGGGCUAGCGUUGUCCGGAUUUAUUGGGCGUAAAGAGCGUGUAGGCGGCCAAGUAGGUCCGUUGUGAAAACUGGAGGCUUAACCUCCAGCUGUCGAUGGAAACCAUUUGGCUAGAGUCCGGAAGAGGAGAGUGGAAUUCCUGGUGUAGCGGUGAAAUGCGCAGAUAUCAGGAAGAACACCCGUGGCGAAGGCGGCUCUCUGGGGACGGUACUGACGCUGAGACGCGAAAAGCGUGGGGAGCGAACAGG
rnacentral:rRNA from 1 species